GGUUCCUUUUUUUCUCGUACACGGACUUGGGUUCGAGUUGGUAGACCCAAUAUAGACUCGCCUCCGUGACAGCUUGUCUGACUCAGUGAGUCGAGUUCAUCGGCUGCCGAGUCAGAGAAUUCCCCUAACUACGCAUCUUAACAGGAGGAUGGAAUCGCUUGAUUGAUUAUAUCAUGGGGGUUUUCGAUCCUUAUCGGAAUCGAAUCUCUGCUUCGUAUGCAAUUCUAUUUCUUUUUUCUGGAGUUAGAUUCUGGGAUUUGAUUCAUUCGUAGCUUUAGGGUUACGCAGUAUCUGGGAGUUUCGUUACAAGGGAUUCAUCAUGUGUUGAUUUCAGAAAAACCCUUUUUUUAAAUCAUGAAUGAAUGGCCCUAUAAUGAGUCUGGUGGUAAUCUACUGCUCAUAUGGCUGAUGCCCAUCUUACAGAAACUCUUAAUUCUUGAUCUGGGAGCUUCAGUCUUUGGCCUUGGAUUGGAAAUAAGCUUGCUUCAUCUCCACCCUUGCCACAUUGCUUAGUGGUCGGUUGCUUUUCUUCUUGGUGCGCAGCCAUGCUUGGAAUCCCAUUAGCUUCUCCUUUUGUCGGCGGCAUUGGAGUCCACCGCACGAUUUCGCGAUUCUGAUGUGCCUUGACUUGGAAACAAAAGUAUUGGCUGUACCGUUUCCGGGUGAUGUUUCUGAAAAUUAGUGUCGAAAACAUCGUUCUUGCAGUACCCAUUAAUGUUGUUAACCCACAGUGUGACCAUUAGGAGUAAACCGGUGAAUGAAGAUCCAAAGACAUAGGGAAAAUGAUGCAGAGAAGCCCCGAUCUUGUGGAGCCAGGAAAGAGACUUCCAAAGGUGGAGGCUUUAAUAUAUCAAAAACUGGAUUUCCUGAGAGAUCUUGGCCUCUCGAACUAUAUGAUCUGCAAAAGUUGAUGAAGAAAUUCCCAGAAGCAAGAGAUGAAACCCAACCUUGCAAAUCUUGGACAAGGAGUGGUGAAACCUUCUGCCUCGGGAAGCGGAUUGCGAAGGGAGAUUGUGUAUGGCUCAAUGCACUUCCAUUUCUUUGGUUCUUCAAGCAGAGCUGUUAGAUAUAUCAGUCGACACUGCUUCAUGAACCUAUUUGAAUGAGUUUUGUUAUAAAACAUCGUUCUGUGUAUAUGAUUACGGAAAUGAAAUUUAUUCAACCGAUCAAGAGAUUAAAAGA